AUGUUCCAGAAGCACAGACAGACCCCCUGCCCCCAGAAUCCAUUGUGCUCAGGACCGUUUGGUAUCAUCCAAUUGUCUCAGAUCCUAGGAACAAGGUCUCCAAUGAGACUGGAUCCUGGACCAGCCUCCCUCAAGCCUCUGACAGAGGUCAACAAGCCUCAGGAGCCAGGCUCGAACCGGAAAUUAUCAGGAAACGUCUUCAAGGUGCUCAUGCUUCUGCAUUUUCAUCCAGCUCCCAUAGGAGAACCUUGCUUGGGCAUGGUGCUCUCAGAAGACACAAAGCCUUGGCACGUAAUCGCCUUUCUUCUGAAGAUUCUACUGGUCAGCAUCUGGAAGCUGAAGACAAGAAUCAAGGGAAGGAGGGAAUAGUUUGUCACUUCUGGCCAAGCUGACACAGCAGGGAGCCCAGGCACCUUCCUCCCACAGGGACUGAUGGAGAACCUUCCUCACUGUUCCAGGGACAUGGGCAUUUACAGGAUAGACACAGUCCCCACCCUCCUGGUACACACAUUAUUUGUGGGCUGGGGUAUCGGAGUCUACAUAAAUUCCAUGAAUUUUAAAAGGCAGUGUAGGAAAUAGGGAAAGGCCAGGCGGUGGUGGCACACACCUGUAAUGCCAGCACUUGGGAGGCAGAGGCAGGUGGAUCUCUGAGUUCAAGGCCAGCCUGGUCUACAGAGUGAGUCCCAGAGAGAUGCUGGGGGCAGGAGUGGCUCUUUUUGAAGGCUCUCAUCUCUCUCCACCAAGAGAGACGACAGACACACUGUUCCCACCACAGCUUGUAACUGACUGUGCCCUUUGCACAUGUUAGGUGGGAGCUCUAAUCCUCCUUGGAAACCAUAAGUCAGCAUUUUACCACCCAGCCCCCACCCCUGUCCACAGAUGGGUAAACUGAGGCACAGCCAGCAGAACUGGUUGGUAUUCGAUCCCAAGUCUGCCUCAAUGUCCUUCUUGUCUUUCAUCUUUGACAUCUAGGGUCCUGUUCUUCGGCUUCGAGGUCACUGCCUGUUGGGAGCAGGCAUAUAUCCUAGGCCAUGCUUGGCCCGCCACAUAGUUAACCUUUACACAGCAGCUCCUUAGAACCUCAGCUCAAGAAAAGAAACAACUUGACCCAGUCCUCCACCCCAAGUUCAGUCACCUAGGCAACCCCUUCCUGGACCUCUUACUCUUGAACUCUUUACCCUGCCAAACAUCCUCUUUGUGGCUUCCUAAUAUCCUGCCUACACUAACACCUGGUGCACAAACAACCCAUUCUGCCCCUCCCCAUAUCCUGCUCUACUGACUAUAUAAGCUAGCCUGAAAAAAAUAAAGUAUGCCACUUGAUCA
rnacentral:lncRNA from 1 species